rnacentral:rRNA from 1 species
GAUGAACGCUGGCGGCGUGCCUAAUACAUGCAAGUCGAGCGGUAAGGCCCCUUCGGGGGUACGACGAGCGGCGGACGGCUGAGUAACACGUAGGAACGUACCCCAAAGUGAGGGAUAAGCACCGGAAACGGUGUCUAAUACCGCAUGUGGUCUUCGGACUAAAGCUCCGGCGCUUUGGGAACGGCCUGCGCAUGAUUAGCUUGUUGGUGAGGUAAUAGCUCACCAAGGCGACGACUUUAGCUGGUCUGAGAGGAUGACCAGCCAGACUGGGACUGAGAACGGCCCAGACUCCUACGGGAGGCAGCAGUAGGGUAAUUUUUCUCAAUGGGGGCAACCCUGAAGGAGCGACGCCGCGUGGAGGAUGAAGGUCUUC